rnacentral:rRNA from 1 species
UACGGAGGGUGCAAGCGUUAUCCGGAUUCACUGGGGUUAAAGGGUGCGUAGGUGGAUCGGUAAGUCCGUGGUGAAAUCCCCGAGCUUAACUCGGGAACUGCCGUGGAUACUAUCGAUCUUGAAUACUGUGGAGGUAAGCGGAAUAUGUCAUGUAGCGGUGAAAUGCUUAGAUAUGACAUAGAACACCGAUAGCGAAGGCAGCUUGCUACACAGUUAUUGACACUGAGGCACGAAAGCGUGGGGAGCGAACAGG